AAUGUGUUAUGACCAUCGUAUACAUGUUCAGCCUUUGUUUAAUUUGAAUAUAUAGAUUGUGAACCAUGUUCAAUUAACUUACGAGCAUAUGUGUACUGUUCUAUUUAAAUGCAGAGGUAUUCUGCUCGAGCCCAGCCAAACAGUGCCCAUCGGAUAAAUAUUAUGAUCCAAUGAUUCACAACUGUACUGAUUGUCCUUCGGGUUACUAUGGAUCAAAUUGUUCGAAUUCUUGUCGUUACCCAAGCUAUGGCGUAGAGUGUCAGGAAAAAUGUCAGUGUGCAAAGAAAGCAUGCGAUCACGUCUUUGGAUGUUCAAGCUAUGAG